rnacentral:rRNA from 1 species
GACGUAGGAGGCGAGCGUUGUCCGGAUUCAUUGGGCGUAAAGAGCACGCAGGCGGUUUGGCAAGUCGGAUGUGAAAACCCGGAGCUCAACUCCGGACCUGCAUCCGAAACUGCCCGACUAGAGGUAGGUAGGGGAGAUCGGAAUUCCUGGUGUAGCGGUGAAAUGCGCAGAUAUCGGGAGGAACACCAAUGGCGAAGGCAGCUCGCUGGGACGGUACUGACGCUGAGACGCGAAAGCGUGGGGAGCAAAGCAGGG